UCUUGGUCUGUAGCAUGAGAAAAAAGAGAACAAAGAGGAACCAAAUCAAGCUGAAAUGUUUGUUGCAACUCGGAAUGGACUAAAAGGGAAAACACUUGAUGUAGAAACACAAGCUGUUAUUGAUAAACUUGAUGAUCUCCAAGAAGCUGGAGAAACUCCUACUAAUGCAUUUCAAAACGUUUUUGGUAAAGAGAAUCCAGGAAGAGUUUGAUGUUUUGGAAGAACUGUUACAAAAUCUUCUCUUAAGAAAAAUAAAGAAAUAGAUGAAAUAAAAAAACAAAGUGAAGAGAAGGUAACAACUUUAAAAACUGAAUUAGAUGACCAUAAGCAACGACUGCAAGGAUUGGAAGAUAUUGUGAAACUUAUGCUGCAACAAACUUCUCCUGGUAUGAAUGUUGAUGAAGCACUUUCUCUCUUGCGAUCUAAGCAAUCGUCUGCAAAUAGUGCACAAGAUCCAAAUUUAGUUUCUUGGCAUUCUCCUCCAUCGACUCAUAUUCCAAAUCAUGAUUAGCUUUCUUAUUGUUGGAUGAAGUUUUCUGAAGACAUAAAGGCAAUUCUUGGCACAAUGGUGAAGCACCAAGUCUUUUUGGUUUCAAGUCAAAAACUUAGUUUCUUUUUGGUUUAAGUUCAUCAUCAGAAAAACAUGUAUUUUGCUUACUUAUAUUUAUUAUUUAUUUGACUUAGUAAUUUGGCAAGUAUGUUAAUUGGCACUUGGUAGACCUUUCUAUAUAUAUGCAAUAUAUAUUAUUAGCUUAUUCAAA